rnacentral:rRNA from 1 species
CCUACGGGUGGCAGCAGUGAGGAAUAUUGGUCAAUGGACGAGAGUCUGAACCAGCCAAGUAGCGUGAAGGAUGACUGCCCUAUGGGUUGUAAACUUCUUUUAUAUAGGAAUAAAAUGUUCCACGUGUGGGAUUUUGUAUGUACCAUAUGAAUAAGGAUCGGCUACCUCCGUGCCAGCAGCCGCGGUAAUACGGAGGAUCCGAGCGGUAUCCGGAUUUAUUUGGUGUAAAGGGAGCGUAGGUGGAUUGUUAAGUCAGUUGUGAAAGUUUGCGGCUCAAACGUAAAAUUGCAGUUGAAACUGGCAGUGUUGAGUACAGGAGAGGUGGGCGGAAUUCGUGGUGUAGCGGUGAAAUGCGUAGAUAUCACGAAGAACUCCGAUUGCGAAGGCAGCUCACUGGACUGCAACUGACACUGAGGCUCGAAAGUGUGGGUAUCAAACAGGAUUAGAUACCCUGGUAGUC